UCCAUGAAAUAAAACACCAGGAAGAAAAACCAUUUCCUUCUUCAUCUAUCCGGAUCUAUUUGUAUCAUAAUGUUCGAUCUAAAACCAUUUUCUUCAAUCUUAACUCAAACAAUUCUUCUUCAACCAUUUUGUUUUUCAUCUCUGCUGUUUGAGUGGUAUUAAUUGCUCUUCUUAUUGGAACCAAAUUUAGGCUUUGAAAAUUAGGAGUUUUUGGAAGACGAAUAAUCAGCCUUGGUUGGAUCUCUCGAACUUCUUCAGGUGGUGUCCAUUAAGGUCAUUCGAAGUAAUCAAUCCGGUCAGUCAGAAGGAUAUGGGUUUGUUGAGUUCUGUACACAUGCAGCAGCUGAGGAAGUUUUGCAGACUUAUAAUGGCUCAGCAAUGCAGAAUAACAUUUUACAGAAAUGAAUGGUGUUUAUUUUUCUAGUAGGCCGAUACGUGUAUGGGUUGCAACCCCAAGGAAACCAACAUGGUUCCAGCAAAUGUCAUCUCGAGUCUGUCUUGGAGACGCUUUCCAUGGUAAAUAUGGGCAGGAGGUUUGACAAAUUAUCAAUGAGCUGAUGGUCAAGACCUGGAUGACGAUUUGUGAAUACCUUAAUGUUAAGGCUGAGGCUCAGGGUGUUGAUCCAAGAAUUAGGGCUGAGGCUCCAUUUCUCUUUGGAGUUUGUGACCUGAGUUGACUAAAGAAGAAAGAGAGAUCAGCUAAAGGCAAAAGCGGUUGAAUGGUCUCUUUACCCUAUUUCUUGCUGUGAUUGGAGGAUAAAUCCACAAGAAUUCAAACUCAAUGCAGGAAGGUUUUGAUGAAUAAAGAAUUAGCUGAAGCUACUUAGAAGGGUGUCACUGCAUGUGACUGCGAGAUUGUUGAAGGGGUGCUCAGCCAUUAACUCAACCAGUUUGUGAUAAAUGGAAACUGUUGGAUACAUGUAAAGGUUUUGCUUCUUUUUCGCUUGUUCUGACGCACGAGAGUGGCGCCCACCUGAGUUAUUUCAUUAGGGAUGGAACUUCUCUUUUUCAACAGAGUGACAUAGUAAUUGAUUUAUUUUCUUUUCCUUGUAGCACUCCUCUUUAAGAAACCUUGAACUUAUCCUUUUAGAACUUAUAAUGGUGUGAAUUCAA